UGCCCUGGACUCUGGGAUAAGCGCUGGAAACGGCGUCUAAUACUGGAUAUGAGACGUGAUCGCAUGGUCGUGUUUGGAAAGAUUUUUCGGUCUGGGAUGGGCUCGCGGCCUAUCAGCUUGUUGGUGAGGUAAUGGCUCACCAAGGCGUCGACGGGUAGCCGGCCUGAGAGGGUGACCGGCCACACUGGGACUGAGACACGGCCCAGACUCCUACGGGAGGCAGCAGUGGGGAAUAUUGCACAAUGGGCGGAAGCCUGAUGCAGCAACGCCGCGUGAGGGAUGACGGCCUUCGGGUUGUAAACCUCUUUUAGCAGGGAAGAAGCGAAAGUGACGGUACCUGCAGAAAAAGCGCCGGCUAACUACGUGCCAGCAGCCGCGGUAAUACGUAGGGCGCAAGCGUUAUCCGGAAUUAUUGGGCGUAAAGAGCUCGUAGGCGGUUUGUCGCGUCUGCUGUGAAAUCCCGAGGCUCAACCUCGGGCCUGCAGUGGGUACGGGCAGACUAGAGUGCGGUAGGGGAGAUUGGAAUUCCUGGUGUAGCGGUGGAAUGCGCAGAUAUCAGGAGGAACACCGAUGGCGAAGGCAGAUCUCUGGGCCGUAACUGACGCUGAGGAGCGAAAGGGUGGGGAGCAAACAGGCUUAGAUACCCUGGUAGUCCACCCCGUAAACGUUGGGA
rnacentral:rRNA from 1 species